AUCCAUUCCCCACCGCAAACCCCUACCUGUCUCCACCCCACCGCAAACCCCUCCUCCCUUCCCCUUCCAGAUCGCCGCCGUGCCGCCUCCCCAUCAGCUCCACCGGCGAGCCCUUCCUCACCGCAUCGCCACCCCCGCGCCCAUCCAUGGCAUCCCCCGCGCCCCUCCAUCAGCAUCCAUGGCCUCCCCCACGCCCUUCCUCACCGCAUCGCCACCCCAACCCCUCCCUUCUUCUCCCUGACGCUCCCCUUGCUCCGGGCCUUCAUCCUCUCCGGCCAGAUCAAUCGGGCGCGGCCCCUACCCUAGGCAGGGAGGGAAGAUCACCGCUGCGCGGGCGCACGGGAAGGGGCGGCGACGGAAGCGCAUCCCCAAGAUCUAGCCCAUCAAGCACCGUGUCGAAGUCUCUCCUUCAAGGAGCUCUAUGUGCGGGUGUGCGGAGGCGCUCGUGAGGGCGGUGGUGGCCUUCUUCGACGCCUUCCUCGUCGACUGCUUCCUCUUCUGGUUCCGCCGCUGCCACCGUCGCCCCGGCCCCAACAGCCACGCCUCCGCCCAUCGGGAUCCGCUCGUGCCCAAGGACUGGACAAGGGAGGCGCUCCCGGCCUCGGACGAAGAGAAAGGUUUUGCAGAGAGCACAUUGUUGAACCAGCAGUUGGCAGAUGGCGAUGACACAGAUGAGGAGCUUAGGCGAGAGGUACGCCUACCAGAGCACCAUUAAACGAAUUUCUGUUACUUUUUCAGUCACAUGCGUGAGGAAUGGUUGUGUUGUGCGGUUAUUGUUACUGUCAGGUUGUAGCUCUAGGUCUAUUGUGCUGUGGCUGACCUCUCUGCCACUGGUUGGAUGUCCGUGUGGUACUGUUUCAAGUUUUGCAGAGAGCACAGGCUCGAAUGAACAGUGUGUGUGGAACAGAUUCUUUUCUGAAUUCUCUUCUUGUGGGAGUAUGAACUUGCUUGCAGUAUCCUGCUUGCAGUAUCUUGGAGUAUCAACUUGGAGCAUCUGGUUAGAGUACCAUCUUGCAACACAUUCGAUUACUCCAGUACUGAUAGUUACAGUGGCAUCUUGCAAAAUGGAGUAGUUAGAGUAGCAUCUUCGAUUAACUAAAUUGAUGAUAGCUGUUGUUAAGUUGGGACUUGCAAGCAGUAGUUCCCUCUUCUUAUCUCUUCUUGCUUGCAGUAGUUUAAUUUAUGAUUUGUCUUUGGUGGAGUAUUUCUUGAACUGUGUUGUAUUCCCGUGACUAAAUAGUGAAUCCAGUUACAACAAAGCAUGCCAGUACUUGUCAUUGGUGGAGUAGUUUGACAGUGAGGAUUAGUGAUGUUCCCAAUUAAUUUGGUGUAGUUUUGGAAGCUCCGGCUCGAUUUCUAUCAUUUCUAGACAGAAGAUAUUUAUAUUUUUGUAAAUUUUCCUGACUGCAGCCAAUUUUGCUACGCAGAACACUACUUCAGUUAAUACACUAUCCAGUACUGCUAGUUCUCAUCUCACUUGUUGUGCUUCUUGUACUGGGAGCACUCUUUGUUAUCCCAAGAUCUAACAUCAAAGGUAAAAUGGGUACAUCUCUUGUCUUGUUGUAUUUGCAAGUUUGAAACUGGACUAGCAUCUUGGAGUAUUGUUGUACUCCAAUAGACUAAACAGUACAUACUCCAGUACUGAUAGUUAGAGUAGCAUCUUGGAGUAGGGUAGUCCACAUUUGUCUAACAUUAGACCAGAUUAUUCCGAUUAGUCCACAUUUCAUAUUAUUCUUGGAGCACUGUACUAUAGCAGCAGUACUGUAUUGUAGCAGCAGCAUGAGUAAACUGAAUACUCCUUCAUAUGUCUGGUUCCUUCUUAUUCUUCCUCAUAUUGUGAAAAUGGAUUCAUUCCUUCUUACGCACUGCACUGUACUGUAAUAUAGGCCAUCUUUCGAAUUAAUACUCCAAAAUUUAUCACUAUUGGAGGAUUGAUUGUUUCCAAAUCAAUACUCCUGGGCAUCAUUUAUGGCUGUCUAGUAGUCGACAUACUUCUGGUUCCAUUUAGUAUAUGCAGGUAGUAGCAGCUUAAGUGUAAUGUAGCUGUUUUGUUACUCUAUGCCUACUUCGUUACAGUUUGCAUCAUCUCCUUGUCGUUUAUAGCAUAAACGCCUUCACUAAUCUUGCUCUGAACCUCUGAUCCUGAUACUGAUUGUAUUUGUCUUGAUGGAAUUAUAGGCAACAUGGUGAAUCUAGUACAUGCAUCGUUGGCCAUCCUCUUCGAGGCUGUGUUUAGGUGAUUCCUCGGGUAGCCAUGACACUACUCUGGCUGAUUAGUACCUAGUGGCAUGUUUGUAAUAUUUACAGGGAUUUUACUUGUAGAAAUAAUGCUCAUGGUAUAUUUAUAUGUCCUGCAGCGCAUGCUCUUUUUCGGUCUGUACGGAAUCUUGAUAUGGUGUUUUGGCAGCUGGGAUAUUAGAUUGCAC
rnacentral:rRNA from 1 species